rnacentral:sRNA from 1 species
UAUCCAUAAUGGGAGCGCACAAACACA